rnacentral:sRNA from 1 species
AAGAACAAGGACGAUUUGCAAUAAUUAA